GACGAGCGCUGGCGGCGUGCUUAAUACAUGCAAGUCGAACGAAACUUCCUUAUUACCGUGUGCUUGUACUCACCGAUAAAGGGUUGAGUGGCGAACGGGUCAUGAACACGUGGGCAACCUGCCCAAAAGAGGGGGAUAACACUGGGAAACAGGUGCUAAUACCGCAUAACCAUAGUUACCGCAUGGUAACUGUUUUAAAGGUGGCUAUAGUACCGCUUGUGGAUGGUCCGGCGGCGGAUUAGCUAGUUGGUUGGGGAAAGGCUUACCAAGGCGAUGAGGCGGAGCCGAAGUGGGAGGGUGAUCGGCCACAUUGGGAGUGAGACAGGGCCCAAGCUCCUACGGGAGGGAGCAGUAGGGAAUGGGACGCAAUGGGCGGAAGCCUGAUGGAGCAGCGCCGCGUGGGUGAAGGAGAUCUUCGGAUCGUGAAACCCUGUUGCUAGAGAAGAAAGGGCGUGAGAGUGGCUGUACAGGUUUUGACGGUAGCUAGACAGGAAGCCACGGCUAACUACGUG
rnacentral:rRNA from 1 species